ensembl:snoRNA
UGGACCAAUAAUAAUGACUGUGAUGGAUGAGUUAUGGACGAUGAAUAAUACGUGUCUGGAACUCUGAGGAACAU